GGUUCUAUACUUUAUUUUAGAAGAUCUGGUUUGCAACUAGAAAGAAGACUAAUGUCUUAGAACCA
rnacentral:tRNA from 1 species